ACGCUCCAGUGCGCGAGACAUCCGAGUAGUUCCGAGUGUUUCGUAGAGGCUAAUUUGUUUGCUAAAGUGAAAGCAGGACCACCUCACGAUGAGUUUCAGAGGACUUUGGAAAAAUUCUCAAAUAAAGAAGUUGGGUCGCUUCUGUAGGCAUUUCAGCAAAGUUAGUGGUCUUCAUGAUGUGGUCAUCGUCAGUGCAGUGAGGACCCCUAUAGGCUCCUUUCAGAGUUCUCUGGCAGCGUUGAAGGCCCCUCAGCUGGGAUCUAUAGCCAUAAAGGAAGCAGUGAAGAGAGCAGGUAUCCAGGGAGAUGAUGUUAAUGAGGUGUACAUGGGAAAUGUCUGUCAAGCCAUGGAGGGACAGGCUCCCUGCAGACAGGCUACCCUGGGGGCUGGUCUUUCAUUGUCAACCCCAACCACAGCCAUUAAUAAAGUGUGUGCCUCCGGAAUGAAGGCGGUCAUGUUGGCAGCUCAGAAUCUGAUGUGUGGACAUCAAGAGGUGAUGGUAGCAGGGGGUAUGGAGAGCAUGUCCAAUGUUCCCUACUACAUGGCAAGAGGGGCCACACCCUAUGGGAAAGUGGAGCUCAAGGAUGGGAUAGUGUUUGAUGGGUUGACUGAUGCUUAUGAUCACUGUCACAUGGGUAAUUGUGCAGAGAACACUGCUUCUAAAUACAAAAUCUCCAGACAAGAGCAGGACGAGUACGCUAUACGGAGCUACAAACUGAGCCAGGCUGCCGCGCAGGACGGCGUAUUCCAGAAAGAAAUCACACCAGUAGAAAUACCCCAGAAAAAAGGAGAUCCAAAGAUAGUAACUGAUGAUGAGGAAUAUAAGAAAGUCAACUUUGAAAAGUUUGCAACAUUAAGAGCUGUAUUCCAGAAAGAAGGUACUGUGACAGCGGCCAAUGCCAGCACACUGAAUGACGGGGCCUGUGCCCUGGUGCUGAUGACAGCCACUGCAGCUAACAGGCUCGGGGUUACCCCUCUGGCAAGGAUACUCGAACCAGAGGAUACUCAAUGGGCAUGAAAUGCACCAGUGUAGGGUUUGCUGAUGCAGCCAGACACCCAAUAGACUUCCCGACCGCUCCAGCCCUAGCCAUUCCAAAGGUGCUGGAGAAUACAGGUGUGAAAAAAGAUGACAUAGAUAUGUGGGAGAUCAACGAGGCCUUCAGUGUGGUGGUGCUGGCCAAUGUCAAAGACCUCGACCUUGACAUGAGCAAGGUCAAUAUCAACGGAGGAGCUGUCAGCAUCGGCCAUCCUAUUGGAAUGUCGGGAGCUCGAAUCACAGGUCACAUGGUUCACAAUCUAAAGCCUGGUCAGAAGGGAUUGGCUGGUAUCUGUAACGGAGGGGGCGGGGCAUCAGCCAUCCUUAUAGAGCGACUGUAAUCGACAAAGGUGAAGGACAGUGCUAGUGACUGUGAUAUCCAGAGCAGCUUGAAUCUCCACGACCGAGUAACAACAAAUUACAGUAGACAUUAUAUCAAACUCUCUGUUCCUCAUUCGUUUGAUGAACCUGUUUACUCUGACUAAGUGUACAGUGAAAAUCAUAACCUCAAAAUUGUUCUAAAAUGUGUGAUGUUUUUAUAAUCAACUAUCUUUUAUGGUUGCUGGUACCGUAAUUUUUUUGUGGGAACUUGAAUCAUGUAAACAGUAUUAUUUAUAAAAGUCCAAUUGAUAAUGAAUAUAUUCAGAAAAUUGUGUUUUGUACAAUGAAGUUUACAUGUAGUUGUACCAAUGUAAUGCUGUGAGAAAUCAGAAGUGGGGCUACUAAAUUAAUGGAAUGCUAUGUAAAUCUGGUAUACAUGUAUGUAGUACAUGAGUUACCUGUACAUCUUUUUUGCCCUGUACAGUAUCUGUAUAAAUAUGAGAUGUUUUAAAUCAUUUAUUCUGUGCACCAUGAAAUUAGAGUUUACUUGUACCUUAAAUAUUAUUCUAUUUUCAAAAACAUUAUCUAUAAUCUUUUGCAUCAUUUUAAUUCUCAUUGAACAUAAAAUAUUCUUUGAGUAAUUUAGGCUGUCCAGAGAACCCCCUAUCUGAUCUUUCUCCACUCAUUAUAUUAGCAAUUUUGCCACCCUGAACGAAAUAAAAGAUUGCUUACCUGUAGGAACAAGUAUAUUUUUUGUUUCUUAAGAUUUUUUAGGUUCUGUUAAAAAGCAAUAACGAUGCACUUUAACUCUGUAUGGUAGUGAAAAGUUAUUGUUUCUAAGAUGAACUGAGUCUGAAUCAGAUCCAUUGGCUCAAAAAUAGUCAGAAAAAAUGGCAUUUGUCUUGGAUUUGUAACUUUUGUGUGUUUUAUGUGUGGAUUUUAUUGAUAUUUCACAUUACUGAUUAACAACACAUUGAAAACUCAGAUAAUAAAUGAUGUUAACUU
rnacentral:misc_RNA from 1 species